UGAAAUUUUAUAAACACCUAUGAAUCUUUAAUCCAUUCAUAGAUCUAUCAUUCUUAACCAAUUUAUCUCACAUAUAAACCAUCAAUUUACAAAUUAGAGCAUAGAUACACAUAUCCCUAAUUUUAUUAAACUAACUCAUAUCAAAAUCAUCAAUUGACAUCAUACACUCAAUUUACUCCAUCAAUCAUCAUCAUAUACAUCUCAUGGACUCAUCUACAUCAUCAAUUCAUCAUUUAAAUCAUUGACUCAAAAGUUCCCAUUUUUGGGUAAACUAAACUCCAUCGAACUUUCACAUCUCAAGGCACAUAUUUCAC
rnacentral:lncRNA from 1 species